AGAGCUUGCUUUUUAAGCUUAGUGGCGAACGGGUGAGUAACGCGUGAGUAACCUGCCCUAGAGUGGGGGACAACAGUUGGAAACGACUGCUAAUACCGCAUAAGCCCACGGUGCCGCAUGACACUGAGGGAAAAGGAUUUAUUCGCUUUAGGAUGGACUCGCGUCCAAUUAGCUAGUUGGUGAGGUAACGGCCCACCAAGGCGACGAUUGGUAGCCGGACUGAGAGGUUGAACGGCCACAUUGGGACUGAGACACGGCCCAGACUCCUACGGGAGGCAGCAGUGGGGGAUAUUGCACAAUGGGGGAAACCCUGAUGCAGCGACGCCGCGUGGAGGAAGAAGGUUUUCGGAUUGUAAACUCCUGUCGUUAGGGACGAUAAUGACGGUACCUAACAAGAAAGCACCGGCUAACUACGUGCCAGCAGCCGCGGUAAAACGUAGGGUGCAAGCGUUGUCCGGAAUUACUGGGUGUAAAGGGAGCGCAGGCGGGAAGACAAGUUGGAAGUGAAAACCAUGGGCUCAACCCAUGAAUUGCUUUCAAAACUGUUUUUCUUGAGUAGUGCAGAGGUAGAUGGAAUUCCCGGUGUAGCGGUGGAAUGCGUAGAUAUCGGGAGGAACACCAGUGGCGAAGGCGGUCUACUGGGCACUAACUGACGCUGAGGCUCGAAAGCAUGGGUAGCAAACAGGAUUAGAUACCCUGGUAGUCCAUGCCGUAAACGAUGAU
rnacentral:rRNA from 1 species